rnacentral:rRNA from 1 species
AUUGAACGCUGGCGGCAGGCCUUACACAUGCAAGUCGAGCGGCAGCGGGAAAGUAGCUUGCUACUUUUGCCGGCGAGCGGCGGACGGGUGAGUAAUGCCUGGGGAUCUGCCCAGUCGAGGGGGAUAACUACUGGAAACGGUAGCUAAUACCGCAUACGCCCUACGGGGGAAAGCAGGGGACCUUCGGGCCUUGCGCGAUUGGAUGAACCCAGGUGGGAUUAGCUAGUUGGUGAGGUAAUGGCUCACCAUGGCGACGAUCCCUAGCUGGUCUGAGAGGGUGAUCAGCCACACUGGAACUGAGACACGGGUCCAGACUCCUACGGGAGGCAGCGAGUGGGGAAUA